UACGGAGGAUCCGAGCGUUAUCCGGAUUUAUUGGGUUUAAAGGGUGCGCAGGCGGGAUGUUAAGUCGGCGGUGAAAUUUUGCAGCUCAACUGUAAAAGUGCCUUCGAUACUGGCUUUCUUGAGUGUGGAUGAAGUAGGCGGAAUUUGUGGUGUAGCGGUGAAAUGCUUAGAUAUCACGAGGAACUCCGAUUGCGCAGGCAGCUUACUAAACAACUACUGACGCUCAUGCACGAAGGCGUGGGGAUCAAACAGGAUUAGAUACCCCGGUA
rnacentral:rRNA from 1 species